rnacentral:rRNA from 1 species
AUUGAACGCUGGCGGCAUGCCUUACACAUGCAAGUCGAACGGCAGCACGGGGGCGAACCCUGGUGGCGAGUGGCGAACGGGUGAGUAACAUAUCGGAACGUGCCCUGGAGUGGGGGAGUAACUAGUCGAAAGAUUAGCUAAUACCGCAUACGAUCUACGGAUGAAAGUGGGGNUCGCAAGACCUCAUGCUCGUGGAGCGGCCGAUAUCUGAUUAGCUAGUUGGGGGGUAAAGGCCUACCAAGGCAUCGAUCAGUAGCUGGUCUGAGAGGACGACCAGCCACACUGGGACUGAGACACGGCCCCAGACUCCCUACGGGAGGCAGCAGUGGGGAAUUUUUGGACAAUGGGCGCAAGCCUGAUCCCAGCAAUGCCGCGUGAGUGAAGAAGG